rnacentral:rRNA from 1 species
UAAGGAAUAUUGCGCAAUGGGCGACAGCCUGACGCAGCGACGCCGCGUGGGGGAUGAAGGUCUUCGGAUUGUAAACCCCUUUCGGCAGGGAAGAUGGAACGGGUAACCGUUCGGACGGUACCUGCAGAAGCAGCCACGGCUAACUUCGUGCCAGCAGCCGCGGUAAUACGAAGGUGGCAAGCGUUGUUCGGAUUUACUGGGCGUACAGGGAGCGUAGGCGGUUGGGUAAGCCCUCCGUGAAAUCUCCGGGCCUAACCCGGAAAGUGCGGAGGGGACUGCUCGGCUAGAGGAUGGGAGAGGAGCGCGGAAUUCCCGGUGUAGCGGUGAAAUGCGUAGAGAUCGGGAGGAAGGCCGGUGGCGAAGGCGGCGCUCUGGAACAUUUCUGACGCUGAGGCUCGAAAGCGUGGGGAGCAAACAGGAUUAGAUACCCAGGUAGUCCCUGAGCGGGCUGGCAAGGCGCAU